UGGCUGAGGUGACAAAGGGAAGUGACA
rnacentral:piRNA from 1 species